rnacentral:tRNA from 1 species
GAAUCAGUUAUAAAGCUAAACUUCUAACUUAGUUCCUAAGCAAUAAUAAAAUUUGUUUAUGAUUCU